UCUCUGGGGUUUUUGGGCGGGUUUAGAGUUUUGAUUCAUGCUCAGGACGAACGCUGGCGGCGUGCCUAAUACAUGCAAGUCGAGCGGACAGAUGGGAGCUUGCUCCCUGAUGUUAGCGGCGGACGGGUGAGUAACACGUGGGUAACCUGCCUGUAAGACUGGGAUAACUCCGGGAAACCGGGGCUAAUACCGGAUGGUUGUCUGAACCGCAUGGUUCAGACAUAAAAGGUGGCUUCGGCUACCACUUACAGAUGGACCCGCGGCGCAUUAGCUAGUUGGUGAGGUAACGGCUCACCAAGGCGACGAUGCGUAGCCGACCUGAGAGGGUGAUCGGCCACACUGGGACUGAGACACGGCCCAGACUCCUACGGGAGGCAGCAGUAGGGAAUCUUCCGCAAUGGACGAAAGUCUGACGGAGCAACGCCGCGUGAGUGAUGAAGGUUUUCGGAUCGUAAAGCUCUGUUGUUAGGGAAGAACAAGUGCCGUUCAAAUAGGGCGGCACCUUGACGGUACCUAACCAGAAAGCCACGGCUAACUACGUGCCAGCAGCCGCGGUAAUACGUAGGUGGCAAGCGUUGUCCGGAAUUAUUGGGCGUAAAGGGCUCGCAGGCGGUUUCUUAAGUCUGAUGUGAAAGCCCCCGGCUCAACCGGGGAGGGUCAUUGGAAACUGGGGAACUUGAGUGCAGAAGAGGAGAGUGGAAUUCCACGUGUAGCGGUGAAAUGCGUAGAGAUGUGGAGGAACACCAGUGGCGAAGGCGACUCUCUGGUCUGUAACUGACGCUGAGGAGCGAAAGCGUGGGGAGCGAACAGGAUUAGAUACCCUGGUAGUCCACGCCGUAAACGAUGAGUGCUAAGUGUUAGGGGGUUUCCGCCCCUUAGUGCUGCAGCUAACGCAUUAAGCACUCCGCCUGGAGUUGCCAACGGCU
rnacentral:rRNA from 1 species